UAACUGGAGAGUUUGAUCCUGGCUCAGAACGAACGCUGGCGGCGUGCCUAACACAUGCAAGUCGAACGAGAAAGUUUCCUUCGGGGAAUGAGUAAAGUGGCGCAAGGGUGAGUAACACGUGAGUAAUCUGCCUUCGAAUCUGGGAUAACUUGACGAAAGUUAAGCUAAUACCGGAUAAGACCACGUUUCACAAGAAAUGCGGUCAAAGGGGUCUCAAACCCCGUUUGAAGAUGAGUUCGCGUACCAUUAGCUAGUUGGUGAGAUAACAGCUCACCAAGGCGACGAGGGUUAGCCGGCCUGAGAGGGUGAUCGGCCACACUGGAACUGAGACACGGUCCAGACUCCUACGGGAGGCAGCAGUGGGGAAUUUUGCGCAAUGGGCGAAAGCCUGACGCAGCAACGCCGCGUGAGCGAUGAAGGCCUUCGGGUCGUAAAGCUCUGUCAAGUGGGAAGAACACAAUGACGGUACCACUAGAGGAAGCCCCGGCUAACUUCGUGCCAGCAGACGCGGUAAUACGAAUGGGGCAUGCGUUGUUCGGAAUUAUUGGGCGUAAAGCGUGUGUAGGUGGUUGUUCAAGUCAGACGUGUAAGCCCUCGGCUCAACCGAGGAAUUGCGUUUGAAACUGAUCGACUUGAGUAC
rnacentral:rRNA from 1 species